UUUAGUUCCAGCUGCCUAAGUGGAUACAUAUCUGCAUUUUUCUGAGAUAGCAUCAAGAGGCUGCAAGCAUCCGGUAGACAAUUUUGCUAUGUCUACGGCCAAUUUAUCAAGACGAGCGAAAAAGUCCUGUAGAAGCAUCUGCUAAGAUGUGUGAGGCCUACAAGGCAUAUUUCGGCAUACCUGUCGGGGAUCAAGACAAACCCUGGGCACCUCAUUUCACCUGCGAGCAAUGCUAAAAAACUGUGGAAGGAUGGUACAGAGGGGAAAAGAGAGCCAUGAAGUUCACUAUCCCAAGAAUUUGGCGAGAACCCACUGACCACUCAAGCAACUGCUACUUCUGCAUGGUGGAUCCUUCCAAACGUCGGACUGGCAAGAAUGAACCUGCUAUCACGUAUCCGGACCUUCCUUCAUCCAUCGCCCCAUGCCACACUGCCAUGAGCUCCCUGUACCCACUCCUCAGAAAGAGAGCAGCCAUCUUAGAAGAGAGCAGCAAGUCAGAAAGCGAGGAAGACGUUGUCGAUCCAGAUGACAAUUUCAGAGGUGGAGCUGAGGCGAGAAACCGAUACCACCCCAACCAAAAAGAUCUCCACGACUUGAUCAUAGAUCUUGGUCUCACCAAGUCCAAUGCUGAGCUUUUGACAUCUCGGCUCAAGCAGUGGAACUUGUUGGAUAAAAGUGUACAAGUCGCAGAUCAGAGGAAGCCUCGCCAACCUUUUUGCAACUUCUUCACCCGUCAAGAUGGGCUCUCCUUCUGCCACAGUCUGUUCGAGGCAAUCGGAAUCGCCUGUAACCAGAAUGAGUGGCGCCUCUUCAUUGACAGCUCAUCCAGGAGCCUCAAAGCCGUGCUGCUCCAUAACGGUAACAAUUACCCGUCUCUUCCCCCGGCUCACUCGGUGCAUCUCAAAAAGGAUUACAACAGCAUCAAGACCUUGCUAGACGCCUUGAAGUAUGAUGAGUAUGGCUGGGAGGUCAUCGGAGACUUCAAAAUGGUGGCAUUCCUGAUGGGUCUCCAAGGCAGUUUUACCAAGUUUCCCUGCUAUCUUUGCCUUUGGGACAGCAGGGACACCAAAGCGAACUACCACAGGCGGGACUGGUCACAGCAGACCGAGUUCUCUGUGUGGAGGAACAACGUCAAGUGGAAGCCACUGGUGGACCCCCGGAAGGUGCUGAUGCCACCACUGCACAUUAAAUUGGGCCUUAUGAAACAAUUUGUCAGAGCUGUAGACAAGGAGUCGGCAGCCUUCAUGUACCUUCAAGACUUCUUCCCUAAACUGUCUGAGGCAAAGGUCAAAGCCGGUGUCUUCAUUGGACCACAGAUAAAGAAGAUCCUGGAGUGCAAUGAAUUCCCCAAGAAGCUCACUAGUAAGGAGAAAGCGGCUUGGAACAUCUUUGUCGCAGAUGGCUCGUGGCUUCCUGGGCAAUCACAAGGUCGAAAACUAUGUGGAGCUGGUUGAGACUGGUGAAGAACUACGGCAUAAUGGGCUGUAGGAUGUCCCUCAAAGCCCAUAUCCUUGAUGCUCAUCUUAAAUCUCGAAAAACGACCACUUCUAAAUCUUUUGUAGUCAUUUUUUUAUUACUUUAGUAUAAAUAAAUGUAAUUUUGAUUCAUGUUGUUUUUUUCUGACUUUAUGUGAACGAAAAAACACAAAUUUGCCCGUUUCUCAUUGAAAAUAGAUACAUUUCAAAAUAUCACUGUCCUAGUCACAAAAGCAAAGUUUGUGGGGAAUAAUAGCCAUUUUCUAUACUUUUUAGGCAUAAGCUAUUACGAAAUAACACUUACUAACAGGACAAAAAUUGUGUUACGUAGUGUUAUUUAUGGGGAAAUGUUUUUGCUUAACAUUCCACUUUUCAGGUAUGCAUUUACCGCAUUAAACGAGGACAUGCUGUAUACCAUAUGGAGCCAAUUACAUGUCAUGAACACUUUGCAAUCUCUCCUUCCAAGUGCAUACAACACCGCAUAAAAAGGUUGCAGAGGUCUUUGAGGUUGUCCUCGUCACUCACCAAGUCUUUGAUCUCCUCAACUGUGAGACCCAGCUUCCCGCUCAACUCGUCGAAGACAUUUAUACAUUCCACAGGUGUCUGUCCUGGAUACUCUGCUGGGUGAGCCAUGCCUGUGGACAUUUCUUGCUUCAAUGUGGAGACAUCAGGCCUCAACCUAUCGAUUAGUGAUGGCCGUUCUGCAUCAAAGAUGGCAACUAGUUUGUGAAGUCUGUUGGAAUUUGGGUAAGCAGAUUCUUCAAUGUAGUUGGGAUUCAAAAGCCAUUCAUGAGGCAGUGAACGUACCAUGUGUGGUGCAAUAUUUGUGCAAGCAUCUAAUUCUUCUCGAGCAGUGUAUCCUUUCAUUGGUACAUAGACAGGAAUGACAUUUUUGUUUGAGUGUGAAAUUAAAUGUGGUCUCAGUCCUGUGCAAAGACAUUCACCAUGAUUUGAACAAGAACAGUCUAAAGUCUUUCCUUCAAAGGUGUUUUCACUGUUGAUAGACCUGAACCUAAUGUCAUCGAUAGUGCAAGUAUCACAACCAUCUUUUUGGAAACAUACAAAUUCUCCUUUUGAAGCACGAUUGUGGGCUUCUAUAAAAUUUUGACUAUACAACUCAGCUUUUGACACAUGGAGGACAGAAUAGAUGUUAUUUUGUCCAAAGCCUCCAUCACUUACAGAGUACUUGACAUCACUCACGAUUGGUGAUAUUGUUCUACAGAGUUUGGUGGGCUGCAUGCAUUGGCACCCACUGCCUUUGCAUCCACCAACACCAAAUGUCAAACUUUUGUAUCCAGCUUGUCUGUUGGUGGCAAUAUCUGAAAAGACAAUCAAUAUUGACAAUGAUAAAACAAGAUGCACAGUUUGCAACUUACUUAAUCGAAAAGCACUUCAACGUGUAUCAUUUAAAUGCACUCACCAUCUUGAUCAUUGGAAGAAAAAGUAUCUGUAUUUGCACCAGAAUUGUCAUAAAAUGCAAAUUGAUUGACUUUUGAGUUGUAAUAAGGCAAGUCUGUGUUAUAGACAGGUCUUCGGUCUACUUGGUGAAAGUAAAGGACUUCACUUCUCUCAGUCUCUCGCACACUUUCUGGACAAUCAGUUGGUUCCGUGCAGCCUAUCACUGCACAUACACCACCGGCUGAGGGACUUGGCAUGGUCAGGUUUGUUUGCAUGCUCAAAUGUGCACAUGAGUAGCAUUCCUUCCAUGAUUCCACCCCCAAAUAUGUGUUGAAAGUGAGCUCUUUGACAUUACAGUUACUGUCACAGAGUAUGGUGUUGUAGAUGGUUUCAUAGCUCUUUGUGAUGAUGUUGCUUUGGUCCAUGGUCGUAAGUGGCAGAUCUUGGGUGCAUGCACAAUACGGAAUGCUGACAUGCAUCGGUUGCUCCAGAUCACUAUCACUGGUCCCCUCCAUCAGGUUUGCACAGGUGCUCACACCUGUCAUGCACAGGAAACACAUUUACCAAGCAGAUGAAAAAGUAUUACAAUCAAACCCAAAAAAGUCCCACUGAGAGUUAUUAUUUCACAGAGGUCCUGCAUUUAUAUAUUUGGCCAAUGCCAUCAAUGGCAUAUUGGAGGAAACCAGAGUACCCAGAGAAGGUUAACAUGUAGGAGGAGGUAAAACCCAUGUCUGACACACCUAACCUACAAGACUCCAGUCUCCAGGAGCUCUGAAUCUCUCAGCCAUAGCAUCAGCUCGGAAGGUGAGCAAACAAGAGGUGGCAAUAAUCACGGUGUACAAAUCAGCCACCUUUUUGACUCUGCAACCUUGUCAAACUGGUGACUUAAUUGGGAGAAAUACAUUUUUGGUAUAGUUGGACUCAGGUGAUGACAAAAUGAGCAAACUCUAUCCAUUUUAUACUUUAAACUUUUUUCAGGUUAUAAAAACUUUUGCUGGUUGGCUGGACAGAUAGUCGACCACAUCCAAACGCUAUCACCAAAAAUAUAGCAAUUAGAGCCGAGUGUGAUUUCUAAUCUCUCCAAGGCCGUAAUCUCAAUAUAUAGAAAAGGCAAAGUUGUGAUUAUGUGUGUCUGUUCAAAAUGUUUAGCGUACUUCCCGACAUGCAACAAACUUGAAAUUUGCCAUGUGUGUACUUUCCAGACUGUAAACCAUGCAAACAUUAUAAAAAUAGACUUCUGUAUAUAUUUUUUUUGGGGGGGGGGGC